rnacentral:rRNA from 1 species
GACGAACGCUGGCGGCGUGCUUAACACAUGCAAGUCGAACGGAAAGGCCCUGCUUUUGUGGGGUGCUCGAGUGGCGAACGGGUGAGUAACACGUGAGUAACCUGCCCUUGACUUUGGGAUAACUUCAGGAAACUGGGGCUAAUACCGGAUAGGAGCUCCUGCUGCAUGGUGGGGGUUGGAAAGUUUCGGCGGUUGGGGAUGGACUCGCGGCUUAUCAGCUUGUUGGUGGGGUAGUGGCUUACCAAGGCUUUGACGGGUAGCCGGCCUGAGAGGGUGACCGGCCACAUUGGGACUGAGAUACGGCCCAGACUCCUACGGGAGGCAGCAGUGGGGAAUAUUGCACAAUGGGCGGAAGCCUGAUGCAGCAACGCCGCGUGCGGGAUGACGGCCUUCGGGUGGUAAACCGCUUUCGCCUGUGACGAAGCGUGAGUGACGGUAAUGGGGAAAGAAGCACCGGCUACUACGUG